UCCAGAAUCAAUUCCAUAAAUUAUAGGCAGUCCAUGUAUAGAGUUGGUUCAAAUUCUCCCAUGAGAAACUACAGGGUAAUUCAAAAUGGAGCUGGAGACCUCAGUCUUGCAUCUUAAACUUUCCCUGACAAAGUUUAAGCAGAUCUGAGAUAAACGAGAUCAGGUCCCAAAGUUUUUUUUAUAUCUGAAGCUCAACCUCUUGUCACAGCAGGCUUUCCUUGGAUGAAGAAUAGGAACCCCAUCAAGCACCAUGAAAAUUCAUCAUUUUCAGUUUGCAGCUUUGACUGCAAAUGUGCCACUAACCAGUGGGAUCCUGUCUGUGGAGACAAUGGAAUGACGUACAUGUCAGCUUGUCUUGCUGAAUGCAAGGCUUUGACAGUACAAGGAAAGAACAUGGUGAGGUUUCAGUCAGAGAUGAGCACAACCUGCAGAACUGAGAUCGAUGUUCGGAUGGCGGCACUUUAAUAAAAAAUAAUAUGAGUAAUUAAUAACACUUACAUCAUACUUUUAUGAAUAGAUCUCAAAGUGUUUUACAAAGGAGGGCUGUAUCACAAUACCCAUUUUACAGACGGGGAAGCUGAGGCAUGGAGCAGUGAAAUGACUUGCUCAAGGUCACCCAGGGGAGAGGCUUAGCCUGUUUGGAGUAGUUAUGCUGUAAACCCCUUCAACAGCUUAUUUUAGGGGCUUGAGUCAAUGCCCUCUGAUGUCAAUGGGAAUCUUUCCAUUGUCUUUAAUAGGCUGUGGAUCAUGCCCUAGAAGCAGCCAUCAAAUGUUUCUCCCUUUCUUCCUUUACUACUUUGGAAUAGCUGACAUCAAUUUGUGUAUAUUUUUGACUAUUUCAGUUCCUUUUUAAUUUCCUUUCCCUGUCUCUUCAUUAAACAAGGACAAACUGUUCUAAACAGGUAUUAUCAAGAUUGAUUUUGUUACUUAGAUUGUGUAUCUGCUUUAGAUGUGUCGAUCCAGCACUGCAAUUGCUUGCAAUUGAUAUGUAUACACUGAUUAUGAGAGCUCUAAGAGAGAGAGUAUUCUGGCUCUAUUAGUUGUUUAGCUGCCACUCGAUAUACGCUGCAAACUGCCUUUUCAGUAGUGUGUGAGACUUCUGGAUACCAAACAUCCAUUAAUAAUAAAUGGGAUCUAAAAUAACCAUAUGGUAGAGAUUCAGGAAAAUAAGCAUGUGCUCAUAUCUACCUGUAUUCAGGACAGCACUGAAAUCAAUAGGACAUAAACAUGGGCUUAAGUGCUGUCCUGCACAGGAAUGUUUUCCUGAAUCAGGGCCUUGGGAAUUACAUGCAUAAAGUAAUUCUGCAUAGUAUGCUGAAAAAGAACCACUCUGGUUUAAUCAAAUAUGGGCAUACAGCAGACUACAUGAAAGCUUCUGUUGUCAGACAUGUCUAGUAAUUGGUGCUUCAGUUUUUGGGUGCCCAAUUUGAGACAGCUUAAAGGCACAAAAUUUUCAAAGGGUCAGCGCUCAGUAUUUUCUGAAAAAUCAGGCUCCUUUAAUGUGUCUACAGUUAGGCACCCACUUGAAAAUUUAGGCCAAAUUGCAUGGUAGUAAAUAUUUUAAAAGUUUUCUAGCUUCCAUAUCAAAACUAAAACGAUACAGGAAUUUACUCCAUUGACUUCAAUGGAAUGUAAGCACAUGCUUUGUGCUUGAGGAGUUCUAUACUAGGGAAACUUUCCUGAUGUGAGGCCUUCUAUAUAGGGGUUUUGGUUUUGCCUCAAAAUGUGCAUAAGCAUGAAUAUGAGCCAGGUUUUUGUAGGACAGAAGAUUUUAAUGAUUUUGAGUUAUGAUUAUUUUAUGAUUUAAUGCGUAAAGAUACAAGUAUUAACUAUUUUUAAUGUUACAUAUAUAUCUUAUCCUUCAAUUAAUUAUCCAAUUAAACUAAAAUGUGUGACACAGAAUUAUUUCUUAAUCUAGAUUAGAGAGAAUUUUGAGCAUGCUCAAAACCAUAACUAAGCAAAAGGACUUUCUUGCAACAUUUGAUGUAUUUCAAACUCCAGCAGACUGAACCUGUUCUAAUAUUUUCACUCUGCUAUUUUUGUACUAGUGCUUUUGAAAUUUAAUUUGACAUCUUGAUGCAUUUGUUGCUUGUUUCAUUACAGCUGGAAUUCCAGCCCCCGUUUAUUUUGGUGCUUUGGUAGACAGAACUUGCUUAAAAUAGGGAAGUAAAAUCUGUGAGGGUCGAGGAGCUUGUAGGAUAUAUGAUUCUAAUGUGUGGGUUUUUUCUCUUUUUUGUAAACAUCUUGGAAAUUUCACAUGAAGAUAUGUAUUAAUAGUCAUAGGUCAUUACAGCUGCUUUUCUUACACAUUUAAAAGUCAAGAAAUGCUAAAGUGAAGGCUGCAUUAUCUAUUGGAGUAAGUUGCUCUCCUCCACGGUUAUUUUCAGAGGGGCCUUGAUAAUAACAAUUAAGGACGAUGUUAUGGACUCACGCUCUGGCAUAGACCUGGCCACUCAACUACUGGCCCUCUGCAUAGGAAGCAUGGACAGGUAAACGGGGCAUUGCUGGAGCAUGUCUCCAUGUUUUACCUUAGAGACCAACAAAUUUAUUAGAGCAUAAGCUUUUGUGGGCUACAGCCCACUUCAUCGGAUGCAUUGAAUUGAAUGAAGUGAGCUGUAGCUCACGAAAGCUUAUGCUCUAAUAAAUUUGUUAGUCUCUAAGGUGCCACAAGUACUCCUGGUUUUUUUGCGGAUACAGACUAACAUGGCUGCUACUCUGAAACCUGUCUCCAUGUUGGCAAUUCUCAGCUGCCAGAAGAGCCACGUGGGAACCAUGAGUAUCUGGGCUUAAGUUAGAACAGCCUUCUGGGUCUUCUAAAACACACUGGGCACCAAAUUAGUGUAAAGCCACAUUUCCACCUGUUCCAUCUCCCAUCUUAUAGUGAAGUGAAGACUCACCAGCAAGAUGCCUCCUGCUGGUUGUCUCGGGAAUUAGCUCUUCACCAGCUUCAGAGCACCCUCUGCUGCCUGGUGUCUCGCCUGCCUCAGGCCCCCAUGUCCCUCCCGGUGCCCCUUACCCUGCGGUUCUGCCCCAGUAGUACCCCCACUCUCUGGGUCUCCCCUCCCAGGGGAACCCCCAACCAUCUAAGCCCACCUUACCUCAGUGGCUACUGCCAGUCAUCAUCUAGCCCCUGUUCACUGGGGCAGACUGCAGUGUAAUGGCCACUCAUCAUUGGCAAGGGGGGUUUGGACCUGUUGCCUUUCCCUGCAACCCAGUACCUCUCUAGGCCUUCCUGUCAGGCUGCAGCCUGGGAGGUCACCAGGCCUAAGCUCCCCAGCUCAGCCUGCCCCUUCCCCAGCACUGCUCUGUCCAUGGUACCCUUUGCUCCUUCAGGCAGCUAGGUCCAUCUCUCCCCAAAGCUAGAGAGACACUCCUUUGUCUCCUGCCCCCACAGCCCUUUUAUCAGGGCCAGCUGGGCCCUGACUGGCAUGGCCGCAGCUGUGGCUGCUUCUCCAAUCAGCCUAGCUUGGCUGCUUCAAAAAACCCCUGUUCUCCAGGAAUGGGGCAGUCACCUCACUACACACUUCCUGUGUGGAGCAUAGUUCUGCCAAAUGCAAGAUUCAGGUCCUAAGUUCUACUGUGUCUGAUAAGAACACCACAGUUCAGCUAGUUCCUCAGUUGCUGCAAAGCAGCAUAACUUCAUUGACUUCAAUGGGACUCUGAUUUACACCAGCGAAGCAUCUGUGCUGUAAAGAAAGAGCUGUGGACAGUCUUUUGUUUCUGAUCUCUGUUCCCAGGUAUACCUACAGAGGCCUAGCUGCAAGUAUAAGGGCACCUUUCUAUUUCUUAGCUUGCCUGUUUUUAUGAUGGUGAAGAAAUAUCACACAGGAGAUUGCAGUCCCACAGAAAAUGGGGGACAGAAAGGAGGAGCUACGAAUAUCGAUGUUACUUCAAAGAACAAUGACUGUUUUGCAGAUUCCUCUGAUGAGGAGAAAGAAACCUAUCUUUAGAAAAGAAGCAUAAGUCCACUGUUAUAAAUAUAAAGGGAAGGGUAAACACCUUGAAAUCCCUCCUGGCCAGAGGAAAAACCCUUUCACCUGUAAAGGGUUAAGAAGCUAGGAUAACCCCGCUGGCACCUGACCAAAAUGACCA